rnacentral:lncRNA from 1 species
GCCUAGAAGGGUAUGGGCACACUUGUUGGAGGAGUCCAAGUGGUCCACCUCCCUUUGGUGCAGGAGGGAGUUGGCCUGUCUGUUUGAUCCUGUUCUCAGGCCUUUAUACCAUGCUUCCAAGGGCAGAUAUGCUUAGCUGCGGCUCUGGCCUCACCAGUUCCAUUUUGGGCCUUGCCCAUGCCCUGCCUACAACACUUGACAGGUUUGGGCGGGUCCUGCCUUAUGACAAAGCUGAAGACACUGCUUGUUCACAGAAGUGUGUGAGGCGGGGCCUCUCCAUCUCUGCAAUCAAGCUUUUUCCUUAGCUUCCAUUUUGUAAGGGCGGUGAAGAGACUCUUCUCCUAUAACUACCAGUGACAUAUUGUGGCUCACCAUUGGGUCUUAGAGGUAUAGCUCAGUUGUAGAGUCUUGGAGUUUAGUCUCCAGUUCCGAAGAAGAAAAGGGAGUAUGAAUAUUGGGUGUGAGACAUGGUGAUGAGUAGUGGGUAAUGAUGGAGUGUGGGCGCAUAUAAAUCCUCUGUGAUGCAUAG